GGUUGAUCUGCACUGUCAGGAUAUCUAACUUCUGCUUGUUGUUUGUUUUUUGAGCACAACUACUUAACAACAAUCAACAAUGAGCCAAUAGACAGCCACGCCUCUUGGGGACCUAGCAUUUAUAUAUCCUCUGAAAAGUCCCCAGAAAUUCAAAGCAGAAUCUGUCUGCAGCUGGCAAAAUCACACCCCUCAUAGAGCACGAGGCAAAUCGUAGUCGGCUGCUGUGGCCAAACUAAAACAGCCCCAUAUCUCACAUCUGGGAUUAAAACAAAAACAUAUUCUUAUAACAUUUCUGUUUUAAAAAGAAACCGAAACUCCAGAAUUCUUACUGUGCCACCUCCUACUUGCCGUUCCUCAGCUGCCAAGGACUUCGUGAUUGUCCCCUUGCACACAACUCCUGAAACCUCCGUUAAAGAGAUAGAUGAGCUGGCUGACGUCUACACGGAUGUGAGAAGACGAUGGAAGGCAGAGAAUUUCAUCUUCAUGGGUGAUUUCAACGCUGGCUGCAGCUACGUCCCCAAGAAGGCCUGGAAGAACAUCCGUUUGAGGACAGACCCCAACUUUGUUUGGCUGAUUGGGGACCAAGAGGACACCACGGUCAAGAAGAGCACCAGCUGUGCCUAUGACAGGAUUGUGCUUCGCGGACAAGAGAUAGUCAACUCUGUGGUUCCCCGCUCCAGUGGCGUCUUUGACUUUCAGAAAGCUUAUGAGUUGUCUGAAGAGGAGGCCCUGGAUGUCAGUGACCACUUUCCAGUUGAGUUUAAGCUACAGAGUUCAAGAGCCUUCACCAACAGCCGAAAAUCUGUUUCUCUAAAGAAAAAGAAAAAAGGCAGUCGCUCCUAGGUCUCAUGUUGCCAUUUUCUUUUCUUAAAGUCGUCCCUUGCUUCCAGAUAAAAUGGCCCUCGUGGGUCUCAGCUCUCUGCACACUCAGGAAUUAAGACUGGCUAAGCUGUUUUCACUGUCCACUCUGGUUAAUUUUGCCUGGAGCCAAGUUGGGAGGAGAGUCUUCUGUUACAUCACCCUGACCACGGGCACCCUGCGAACCACCAUGGGUAACCUGAAGAGACACAAAGUCUAUUCCAUAAUAAAUGUGUGUAUUUAUUACACCAUAAACACAUGUCUGAGCUGC
rnacentral:lncRNA from 14 species